AUGCGACAAGCUCGUCACCAUGGUUGCUGCCGCCCGACGCCACCGUGUCCUUCCAGCACGAGCCGCCGCAGAUGCCAAGCAACGCGGCCACCUCGCCGGCCGCUGUCGCGCACAGCUACCGAUGCAGCUACCGCAGCACUGCGCCCGGUCGUGCGCCACUCGAUGCCGUCGCCGAAACCCGCAGCUCCGUGCGCCGCCGUGCCGCGUCUCCGUGCCUCGCGCCCCUGCGCCUCCACGGUCGUCGUGCCGAACCGCCGCGUCCUCUGCGCCACCACGCAGGUCCUCCGCGACCUCCUCGCCUUCGCGACCACCGUCGCGCACCACAGCCUCCAUGUCCGCCGCGCUCGCCGCGCACGCCGCAGACGCCGCCGUACGCCACGGCAGCCCCUCGAACCUUGUGGCUCUGAAUAUCAAUUGUUGGAGCUGCCUCAUCGCAACCCCAUCUUCUUCUUCCUCACAAUCUCUCCCUCUCAUGGUUUUGUCUCACACAAGAACUCACACUGGUGA
rnacentral:rRNA from 1 species